UACGUAGGGUGCGAGCGUUAAUCGGAAUUACUGGGCGUAAAGCGCACGUAGGCGGCUUUGCAAGACAGAUGUGAAAUCCCCGGGCUCAACCUGGGAACUGCAUUUGUGACUGCAAGGCUGGAGUGCGGCAGAGGGGGAUGGAAUUCCGCGUGUAGCAGUGAAAUGCGUAGAUAUGCGGAGGAACACCGAUGGCGAAGGCAAUCCCCUGGGCCUGCACUGACGCUCAUGCACGAAAGCGUGGGGAGCAAACAGG
rnacentral:rRNA from 1 species